rnacentral:lncRNA from 10 species
GGUUGCAGUAAGUCUGGAUGCCACAUCAAACUGUUUGUGGUACUUCUAAACUUCGUGGAAGAGCCCUGUUUCAUAAAUCUGAGACAGCCUUGGUCUGAGGGAGCAAAGACAGAGAAUUCACGUGCUGCCCAGGCAUAGCCACAUAGCAGGUGGACAUCCCUGGACACUUUUCUGACCCUCAUUGGAUUUUCCUGGAAGUACGGAGAGUUACAUCCAGAGAACUCUGAACAUUUUGGAAGGACCCCAAUCCUGCAAACAAUGAAUGGCAAUAAAUCCUGGGACUGGAAAGGGGCUUCUCAACCCCAAGGCAACCAUAAAGUCCUAUACAAAGAAAGAUACAGCAGUGUGAAAGAGGCCUGGAUGAAAAAACAAAGACAGAGCCAGUGAGCCAGAGCCAGAGCCAGAGGACAAGAGAGAAAGGCAGAGAAUGGAAAACACAGACAGAGAAGGCAGAUGCGUAGAGAGACAGAGAUUCAAUGAGAAAAUAAGGAAGGAAGAAAGAAAGAAAACAAAAACGUUCUCAGCACUACAACUUCUGCCUUGUUCUGUUCCAGAACAGUAUGAGCUCAGUACUUUUUCAGACUCUCAAUUUUCUACAACUAAUAAUUUGCUCUUUCAGUUAGUGGCAAAGGCUUAACGACAAAGGUUCAUCUUUAAUAUUAGAGAGGCACUUUUAAAAUUUAUGAUGCUAAGCCUUUUGUUCUGGAUAUGGUAUGUUGCACAGGUCUAGGGACUGGGAUUUCAGAUGUCUAUUCCGUACCCUUAUUCUUUUAUUUAUUAAAUCUUUUAGUGUGUAUUUUUUUCUAUUUUCUCUUCUUUUAUUAGUAUGUAUUUCUUGAGUCAUUAACAUACAACAUAUAUAGGACUUCCUCUGAGGAUACAAUAAUGUAUAUGAUGGACAAGAUACGUAAAAGUGCCUUGAAGAGACUUGGUCUUGUGAGGGGACAGACAGGAAACAGGCAAUUAUCACCUAACUUAGGUCUGUUGUUUCAAGGUAAAAUAAGAAUAAUAACAUCUGUGUUGGCUGGGAUGUUGUGAGUGUUUGUGGAGAUAAUAGUACAAAUGAAAUUACUGAGGGACAAUGGUGAAGAUAGGGCCAUAUCAUGGAGCUUACACUAGUGAUGGAAGGAGAUGGGAGAUACAAAAGCAAGUCAAUAUUUCAGAUUUCGUAAAUGAAUGGCAAGCAUAGAGCAGUGAGGCAGAGAAUGACUGGAGAAAGAGACUAUGUUAAACUGGAUAGUAAAGGAAGAGCAGGACCCCACUAAACUAUAUGGAGUUUUGUGCAAAUCACAUGAACACACGUAGAACAUUUUAGGCUGCUCAUGUGACUUUGGAUUUGUCCUAAGGGCAAUAGUAAGCCUUUGAACUGCUUUAGCAUGAUAGGAUUUUAAAAGAUCACUGGCUGCUGUGUGAACAAAAAUAAUGUUGUAAAGAAAAGGAUAUUAGCUGUAUCAGAUCAGCUGGAGACUACUGAAAUAACCCAAGCUGGCUUGGACUACAUAGGAGUAGUGUAAACUCAUUCAUUCAUGCAAGAAAUACUUACUGAGUGCCUACUCAGUACCAGACCCUUUUCUAGGACAUGGAGUUAUAGCAGUGAACAAUAUAGAAAAAAAUCCCCGAAUUCAUGGAGACUCCAGUGAGCAGAGACAAAAAAAUAGCAACUAAAUAAGUUAAAAGGAAUUGAGUACCCUAUAAAAGUUUAUCAGGGAAAUGUUAUAAGGAAUGACUUUCGGAGUAAUGGGUAGUGAUCUUAAAUGUAUGGUCAAUGAAAAUCAGAAGUUGUAGAGAAGUGGAUAAAUUCACAGUACGUUUUAAAGUAGACCUAAUAAGACUUAAUGAAUUUGAUGUGGCAAGUGAGAAAAAUACAUCAAGGAUGAUGACUUUUAUAAUUUGACUUGAGUAUCUGGGAACAAACAAGUACAGUGCCAUAAUAAGGGCAGAAAAUUUUCCAUUCACUCAGCAACUUAUGAACUCAUUUGCUUAGUCUUUAUUGCCUCUUGCAUUAUGUAGUUUUCACUUUGCUGGAGUACUUGUAUAGAAGAUCACCAGUGAAGAAGCCAGAGAUGGUUUAUUUGGUCAUCCCAAUAAUACAUCUUAUUGUUAAUUAACUCUCAAGGGUUUUUUUUCACAAUUUUAGAAAAGGUUUAAGCAAAUGAAUUAUUUAACAUGAAUUGGCUAUGUGACCCUACUAUAAGGUGUUUAAAACACCAACAGCUUAAACUUCUUAGAUCAAAGGACAUCCUCCAGGCCAAAAUGUUUCCACUGGAACGGUUUCUUUGCUUCCUGAUUAAAAGCUUCCCUAAUAUAUUUCCACGUGUUAUUACAUAUUUUCGUAUUCACUUUGAUGGAAAGCAAGAAUAGCAGCCAAAUACAUAUUUCAUGCAUUCUUUUGAUUAAAAAUGAUAAAGG